GAACUGCGAAAAUUAGUGUGAAUUGCAGUAUUGUGAAUCAUCGAGUCUUUGAACGCAAAUUGCACCUUCUGGUACUCCGGAAGGUAUACUUGUUUGAGUGCCAGCUUCAUUUCUACGCCGAGCCUGGUUGCCGAAAGGCACUUGGUUCGAAUUUGGGCUGUCUUGGACCUAUUUCAAGUCGCCCUAAAUCAAAUUGGCGCUAACAGAAUCAUCGUGUUUGCUCCGACCUUUAUCCACUGCCAGUUCCAGGGCAAUUGGGUUGGUGCAAGAUGGUUUGAACUGCGCGUCUGUUUACUGAAAAGUAACGGCAAACUGCUGGAAUAAGCUGAACUUGGCCUCAAAUCAAGUAAGAUUACCCGCUGAACUUAAGC
rnacentral:misc_RNA from 1 species